GGGAGGGAGGGUGUUUGUCAGCUAUGUCGAGUCUUGGUUAACGACUUUGCCUCCGUUCAUGGUUGGCGUCCCUGAACUUUUUCUAGAGCGUCCUUGUUUUUCUCCAAUUUCAUGCAGCGAUGGCUCUCUGUACAUGCACACUGCAAACAGAAAAGACACCCGUUAGCAGCCCUGAAGUCACAGCAUCACUGACCACCAUGAGUUAUCUGUAUGCGAGGCUGAAGUCCUCACCCCGGUACAACACAGGCGCAGACAUACAAAAGCCUCAGUGACCCAGUGGAAGAUCCUCUUAUCGAGCAAGAUCUGCUAUCUGCCUUUGCUGCCAGCCAGAUCCUUCCAGAGGCACAGACAGAAACAAGGGAUUUCUGCUUCCCUGUGGGCCCAGCCGAUGCAUUUCAGAGCUGUCUGAGCUGGCGUCUGCCCGGAGGCUCGACGUGCUGGAUGCUGCCAGAUGGAGUCAGCGUGUUCAGGUGCAGGAGUUGACCAUCCCCAAGUCACGGAAGAUGCGCCGACGGGCAAGGAGGCUGGACUGGUUGAACAAGAGACCUUUGGCUGGAACUGAAGAGUAAAAGGCAAGUUUAUGGUCUCUGGAAGAGUGGGCAAGCUACUUAUGAUGAUUACAGGUAUGUAGUGAAGCUGUGCAGGGAGAAAAUUAGAAAAGCCAAAGCCCAAAUAGAACUGAAUUUGGCCACUAAGGUAAAGGACAACAAUAAAUAUUUCUACAAAUACAUCAACAGCAAGAGGAGGGCUAGGGAGAAUCUUCAUCCCCUGUUGGAUGCUGAGGGCAGCUUGGUGACCAAGUAUCAGGAUAAGGCUGAGGUACUUAAUGCCUUCUUUGCCUCAGUCUUUAAUAGUAAGACUUGUUACUCCCUGGGAACACAGCCCCCUGUGCUGGUAGUUAGGGAUCGGGAACAGAAUUAGCCAUGCAUGAUUCACAGUGAGAUGGUUUUGGACCUGCUCCGAAAGCUGGAUGCUCACAAGUCCAUGGGGCCGGAUGGACUGCACCCUAGAGUGCUGAGGGAGUUGGUGGAUGUGGUUGCCAAGCCCCUCUCCAUCAUCCUUUGGUCCUGGCUAACUGGGGAUGUCAUGGCAGACUGGAGACUGGCAAAUAUGACGCCCGUCUUCAAAAAGGGCCGGUAAGAUGAUCCUGGUAGAUACAGACCUAUCAGUCUCACCUCAGUGCCAGGGAUGCUUAUGGAAUGGAUAAUCUGGGGAACCAUCAUGGACCAGUUAAAGGUCAACCAGGGGACCAGGUCCAGUCAACACGGGUUUAUGAAUGGUAGAUCCUGUUUGACAAACCUGAUUUCAUUCUAUGACAAGGUGGCCCAUUUAGUGGAUGAAGGUAAAGCUGUUGACGUGGUCUGCCUGGGCUUAAGUAAAGCCUUUGACACUGUCCCUCACAACAUCCUCAUGGAGAAGCUGGCUGCCCACGGUUUGGAUGGGCGUACACUCUGCUGGGUGAAACAUUGGCAGGAUGGCUGCGCCCAAAGAGUUGUGGUCAAUGGAGUUAAAUCCAGUUGGCAGCCAGUCACGAGUGGUGUCCCCCAGGGCUCGGUACUGGGGCCGCUUCUAUUUAACAUCUUUAUUAACGAUCUUGAUGAGGGGAUUGUAUCAGGAAUGCUGUGGUGAGCAGGACUAGGGAAGUAAUCCUGCCCCUGUACUCAGCAUUGGAGAGGCCCUACCUCGAGUGCUGUGUUCAGUUUUGGGCACCUCAGUAGAGAAAAAGGACAUUGAGAUGCUGGAGCAGGUCCAAAGAAGGGCAACAAGGCUUGUGAAGGGCUUGGAGAAUAUGCCCUAUGAGGAGAGACUGAAGGAACUGGGGCUGUUUAGUGCGGGAAAAUGAGGCUGAGGGGAGAGCUUAUGUUCUCUUCCAAUAUCUGAAAGGUGCUUACAGCAAGAGCAGGGUUGGUCUCUUCUUACUGGUGACAGGAUGAGAGGAAACGGCCUUAAGUUGCGCCAGGGUAAGUUUAGGUUAGACAUCAGGAAAACCUUCUGUACUGAAAGGGUUGUUAAGCACUGGAAUAGGCUCCCCAGGGAGGUGGUUGAAUCACCAUCCCUGGAUGUGUUUAAAAACUAUUUGGAUGUGGUGCUCAGGGACGUGAUUUAGCACAGGGUUGUUAGAGUUAGGGUAGUAUGGUUAGGUUGUGGUUGGAUUCGAUGAUCUUUAAGGUCUUUUCCAACCUGAGCGAUUCUAUGAUUCUAUGAUGUACCACACCAUAUACACUGGGGUUUGGGCCAGUGAGAGAUGGCAUGGAGCUCUUUUGGUAGAAUAGUCUGGAAAUGAUGUCUUCAAGAAGGAACCAAAAACAGCAGAGCUCAUUCACAAAAAGCAUCUAAUAGAAUUUUUACUUAAGGGAUUGGAAGAGUCCCCCAUUAGUUGAGAUGGAAAAAACAAGAGGUACCAUAGAUGGAAGUGUUUGUCCAGUACUAAUCAAUGCAGACACUUAAGGAGACUGAAAUUGCUGUAAAAGAUUGCUCGGUGUCCAAGUGACAAUUAUACCCAAGAUAAUUUCUUGUGGUCUGGUUCAAUCUAUAUGUCUGCACUUUAAAGGCUCAUUUAGCACAAAUGAUCAGCGAUCAGAAAUACAAAUAUCAAAAGAAAUGUGUUGUGUAUGUGUGUUUUUAACCAAGAGUGGCCCCACACAGUACAUUAACUGCUGACGGGCAGGCUGUUUGCCUUGGCUUUGCCAGCGCACAGAUGGGAGAGGAACUGAACGUUUCCCAUCAUUACUCACUGCAUUUUUUUUUUUGUGUGCUUUUAUAUUGAUAAAGCUUGGUGUGAUUUUCAAAAACAAACAAGCACAUCCUACCUCCACUAGACCAAACCUAACCCCUCGUAUGAACCAAAUGCAGAAACCUUUCCAGUGGCUUUGCACAGAACAGCCCCAGCAUCUGACAAUUUACAGGAGACAAAGCACUCCGCAGGAUUAGCACAGCAUAGGACUGUACCUGUGAGAGAUAACACACAUACAUACACAGACACAACUGUGUGUAUAUAUAUAUAUAUACACAUACAUACAUACAUAUAUAUAUAUAUAUACAUACAUAUACACACACACACACACACACACACACACACAUACAUUGAUGUGGGCCUUAGAAGUUCCUUGGGAGGACAUUUCAUACUUACUCAUUAGCUUACUGUCUAUUUGCAAUUCUGAGAAAAGAGCUUCUGAAUUCAGAAAGCAGUAUGAAGCAACAGGAGUCAAUGCUGCAGGAGCAAGCUGGGCUUUUCUGUGAUUCCUUUUCCUGCAAACGUUCCCUUCACUGAGCUGCUGCAUAAUUUUUCUGCGCACAGCAAUCAGCUGGGAAGUUUCAGCUCAGAGAUAAUUGCCAUUGAAGUGGUGGGUGAAGUGAUUCCUGGCACUGCAUGCGACACUGCUUCUUUUCACAGGACCCGAAUCCUCUGUGCAUACAUCACCGUGUCAGCACUGUGUCACAGUGUUAAUGCUGGUGGUGGGAUCACAGCAAAAGCGUACGUACUGCAGAUGGAAGCAGCAUAGCACCGGCCUGAAUAAGCAGCAAAGGACACACACUGGGGCAUGCCACCGUGCUCAGCGGAAGGGAUGUGCAAAUACAGCAGGAGAGUGCUGUCACUCGUUCCUUCUAGUCAUCUCAAAGAGAAAGAUGCUGUUAAACCAGGGCAGGAGUUGCCCCUUUUCUCUAACAUCUCUGCUUGCAAGCUCUGCUCGCAGAGACUUUGAUGGAUGCAGCACAGACAAGUCACGUGGAGCUGAGCACGUUUUACUCCAGCCCUCUGCUACCGACAAUGAAUCUUGGGCUUGGGAACAGAGCCCUCCGUCUGGAGCCACAGUCCCAGACAGCUGAAUGCUUUGGGAAGCUGACACGUGCCUGGGCUUGGGAGGCUGCCAGCUCUUUGAUGCAGCAGAGGCCGCCUGCAAAGCGUGUGGAGGAGGGAAGGGGUGGAGGAGCCCUUCAUUUGGCUGCCAACUUCCAAAGUGUUCGCUCGCUCAGGAGGUUAUGUGACAGCUGUGAUUGAAGCAAGUGUGGGAGGAGGCAACUGCAGGAAAGGGAAGCUCUCAGGCUGGGUUUGGUUUUUCAAAAUGAAAGCUGGAGCAGCAGUUGCUGCAAUGAGAACUCCGCUGCGGCCAGGCACCUCUAUUAUGGUGAAUCUUUCUGUGAGGAGAACCGCAGAAUGGCCUACUUUAACUCAUGCGGAAGACAACUACUGAGCCAUUCAACAGCCACCACAUGUGCUGCACUGGGGAAGAAAUCUGGAUUCCAAGGCUCUGCUCAGUGCCAGCAGCCAGCGAGGUAGCAAAGAGCUAUAAGAAGGAGCUGUAAACCCAGCUGGGACAGCUAGCACCUGUAAAAGCCUCUUCCUCGCCAAGGUAGGAGAGGAAUGGAACCCAACCUCCUGCUGAAGCGGGCCCUGGUCUUUAGCACAACCCAAAGUGGGCUGAGGAAGCUAGCUCUGCUGCUGCCUCCAAUUGGCUCUCAGCUGCAGAAAAGUCACUGAGAACAAGCACAGGAGAAGCACACCUGUGACAUUCUCUCUUCUUCCAACACCUCCAUCUUCUGUGCAAAGGGAGCAGAUACCUGUGAAUGCAGAGCUGAAUUUCUCUCUAAUUUAUAAUUAACAGAAAAGGGACAAUUGCUUGUUUCCAAAAUUAAGUUAGUACCUUAUAAGGACUAAGAUUAUUGCAGUACAUCUCUCCCAUCUACCACGUUCCAGCCCAUAAAAAAAUGCCAUGGCAUGAGCCCAUGGCACACUUCAGCAAUGUACUGUCAGCAAGCAGGGACAAAAAUUCAACUCCACUACUUCCACCAAAGCCUCAAGCUGUGAUAACGUGCAGAGUUUUUUACAUGAGACGGAAAGUGGAUGGAAUGCCAGCAGUGCAGCCCAGCACUCCAAAAGUGCUCCCCAACACCCAAUCCAUGCAGCCCCAAAUCCGCACCUGCCAGCUCACCCACCCUCCACACCAUACGGAUGGAGGGAGAGAUUCCAUACCU